GAAUAAAAAGUAAGAAGGAUGGAACUGGAAAGGAAUCGGAAAGGAAUGUAAAAAGAAAAAUCUACCAGACGUUGGUGAGGGGGGUUUUGUUGCCAAGUCUUAUUUUGUUGUAUUUUAUUUCUUCCUAUUCCAUAUUGAUCUUUCCAGUCUUGAUAAAACUCGAACGACG
rnacentral:ribozyme from 14 species